rnacentral:lncRNA from 1 species
GCUAGGAGAGCCCAGGUCAGCGGCGGACGGAGGGUGGCGUGUGCGGUCAGGAGGCCAGAGCUUCGAGCGAUCCAGGCUGCGGCUCCGCUGAGGGGCCGGCUGUGUGAGCCAGGGAUCCGCGGGGCUGAGGGACGCUCAGGAGCGGCGAGGCUCGCGGCCCGAAGGAUGGGCCGAUGGAAGAAACAUGACAUCUAGAGGCAGCAGACUUGUUUCAGAUUCAUGCCUUAUCAGUUCUUAGGUUUGUGUAUUGGGAGCAUCCCUUGCAAGAUGUCCGCACUAAGGAUCUGGCUAAUGCAAGCUUUGCUUAUUUUCCUCACUACUGAGUCUAUAGGUCAACUUGUGGAACCAUGUGGUUAUAUCUACCCUGAGUUUCCAGUUGUCCAGCGUGGCUCUAACUUCACUGCCACUUGUGUGCUAAAGGAGAAGUGUCUGCAGGUGUACUCCGUGAAUGCCACUUACAUCGUGUGGAAGACAAACCAUGUUGCCGUUCCUAAGGAGCAGGUCACAGUCAUCAACAGAACGGCAUCCAGUGUCACAUUCACAGACGUGGUCUUUCAGAACGUCCAGCUCACCUGCAAUAUCCUGUCAUUUGGACAGAUCGAGCAGAAUGUGUAUGGAAUCACCAUACUUUCA